AAACAUCAAGCACUCGUCUAUGAAGUGAGUGUAGAAACAGAGAUACUGAUAGAUAUUAAGAUAAAUAGAUAAAUAUAGAUAUGGGUAUGAAUAUAAAAGGACAACAGUGGCAGGGAGCAGUGAGGUGUGAUUAAUGUGUUUGUUCACAGUUAACCUGGUUACUGACAACUAGCCGUCUGAAAGGAGUUAAACGCAUUUUUAAGACCAGUGAGCGCUUUAACCACAGAGCUUGGAACCGUGAUGAUGAAGUUCAAAGCAGGUUUGAACUCGACUGUCAUUAGAAAGUACAGCUUUGUGACUGUCACUGGUUCACAGACUGAGAACCAUGUGGCCUGGACAGUAGUUAGUAAUGUCUCUGCUCCUUUUUAGAGACCCGGCUUUAGCCUACAUGUGGCGAUGAGCUGGAAUGUCUGGAGCGCUUUGGUGACAUCGGAGUCUGUCUGUCAGACUCAGACUAUCUCUGCCUAAAGGACGACGAAAUCUUGUCCGACUCCAUCUCUUGCAUCUCUUUCCUGUCAGACACCAAAUGUAAGCUCAGAUUCGCUACUUGAGCUUCGCAGGCUGAGAAAAGCUGUGUGGGAUUAUCAAUGACACGUCACCAGGUGAGUGAUCUGCCCCCAAACCCGACAGAAGAUGGCCCUGAGGAGCACGAUGAAAGGAAAUACGUCGAUUUGGACUCAGUGGACGUGAAAACAGACCCAGGCUUUAGUGAGAGAAACCAAAUGUCUGUCAUUGUUUCCCACAGCGGAGCUGGAGCUCCGUGCGCAACGGGACUCAAAACCGAGGUCGAUACUAAGACGACAGAGAAUGCCACAGCUGGGAAAUACGGAGAUGGUGUUAAGCACCAUCACGCUGACGCGUCACCGCCAUCGAUUCCUUUUUGUUCAAACGCAAAGUCGGAGCGUUUCCACGAGCAGCACGAGGUGUCCAAAACGGAAAGCAGCGCAAGCCUGCAGCCAGACGUGGAUUUGCGCACUAGUGAUAAUUAUCUCGGGGAGACAAGUGAGCUGGAUGAUUAUGAAGUGGACGAUGGUAUAAGUUUGGUGCUUUCUGAUGACUGCAUUCCGUGCGCCACGGAGGAUGAAUCCCAUUAUAUUACCACGCACGAGAUCCAGCUCUCGGAACUUUCUGACCACGAGGAGGACUACGAACUCGGAGUGGGCUCUUCCACGAGCUGGGACGUUGAAGAAGACAACCGGGUUUACUCAUUUGCCGAUUACGCUUCUUUUGAGGCCGGGGGCGCGGUGGGCGAGAGGGGCCACGGCCGCCAGCCUGGCUCUCAGGGCGCAGCAGCAACAGUCAGCACUCUGCUGGAAAGUGAUCCGUGCGAAGCGGCCAAAUUCACCAGCUCAGAUGAGAGUGUGUCAAAGCCCGAGCAGCAGCACUGCAGUGGCAACAGUGGCGGACAGAUUCACCUGUCAAUCAGAACCACCUCUCGAGCUAUAAAUGACCCUAGCAACAUCCAAGAACAGGAAAAGAUUCUUUAUCGUGCCAGGCGCUCCGGAGAUGUGAGUCGCUAUGUGUUUAGGGGGGUUGAUGGGAAGGCAGAGACGGUGUGUGACACGGCAAAGUGUUUGGUAGCAGCGCCCGGGCGCGUACACUUUGGCGGCAAAUUAAGGGGGAAAGAAGUCCCCGAAUAUUCCAGCGGCACGUCCAGUGCUGUCAGCGAGCUGGACGACGCUGACAAGGAGGUGCGCACUCUGACAGCCAGAGCCUUCAAGAGCCUGGCGUAUCCUUACUUUGAUGCCAUUCAUUUCAGCACCUCCAGUGAGUCUUCUGCAUCAGAGCAUGCCGUGGGGAUAAACAGGUGGUCCACGUUUGUGGACCUGAAAUAUGGUAACAUGAAUAUGGACCAAAGUCUUGUUUCUCAUCAAAGCUCAGCGGCCUCGUUUCAAAUAGCCAAAAGCAUAGACAAUAGGGGUUAUAAGGGCAUCAUCAAAGCGCCCGCCAGCGAGAUAUUACCUCCCCACGGCGCAUCGUCAUCUACAAAGAAAAUAGAGCUGAUGGGGAAAUUUGGUCAGGGCCACAGUGGCGUCAUAAGGCUGACAGAGACUCUGAAUUUUCGUUGCAACGUCAAAUCGGGAAUUCCUGCGGGAGAAUCACGCACUAACUUUGCACAAAACGCAGCAGGAUCACGUUCCACAGAUGAAGUUACCAACGCAAGCCAGAGCAGGGGGGGCAGCAAGCCGCCCUCUAAAACCAUGGAAGACACGCACAAGAAGGCCGUGUUUGCUUCGAGUCUCAUCAAAAAUGUCAUUUCUAAGAAAAUGCAGUUCGAGCAGGAGCGCAAGAUGGAGAGAGGCGAAAUAAGCGAGGCGCAGCAGACGCCCUCUCCCUGCUUUCUGCACCAGGAAAGCGACGACGUCAGAGGGAAGCACAACUCCAAGCUUUCGGAGAGCAGCUCCGACUACACCAUAAUGUGCGUGAAUGAGUUAGGGGACAUCGCGGAUGCCAAGAGCGACUCUCGGAGGCAACAAACUGGAGUUGAUACUAAAAAAGGCGCACUGGACUCAUCCAGAAGCACGCUGCAUCGCAGCCAAAAUAGCGCGUUCAGAUGCUGGAAGGAUGACGAGCUAGAAUUUCAAAAGGAUCCUAAAAACGAUCAAACACCAGAGGACAAGCUUGCAGCUGACGACACACAGGGCGAGGGGAGUCCGUACUCGGCGGGCAGCAGCAAACUCAAGAAAAUGGCUCAUUUAUUUGUGCCAAAUAUCCAAACGCUGCCCAACGAAGGCGAAGCCACGCAGCAGCUGCAGAGCAGGAAUUAUUCUACGCGUGGACACGGACGUGGAACCAAAGUACGCUCUGUCGCAGACUCUGUGACCACAUCCAAAUCUCCAGAAAUUCAAAUUAACUUGAGGCGCGUCAAAGACGAUAAAACCGAGCCGUGCGCCGUCUCCAAACUGCGCGCUCCUAAUUUAGGCUGCAGCAUCACCCGAACAGAUCACGCCAAAUCCCACGCGCUUGCUACAGCUUUGAAGGGUGAGUUUUCAGAUAAAGUUCCACAUUUCAUGGUUCGAGACAUUCGAGAUAAUAAGGGGAAGCUGCAGACUCCCAUUUACCAAGUGAGAGACGUGCGUAAGCUGGUUAAAAGUUCGUAUCACUUUGUUUCUUUGGAUAACAACGAGAAUAAAUCCCACAGCGCCUCCGCUGACAGACAUCCAGAGCAAAACAAGCAAGUGCCCAAUCAAAGUUUUAAUACUGUGUCGCCUAUAGUGAUCAAGUGCCAGUCUGUGAAUACUAGCAGUAACGGAAAACAAUGUGGAAACCUUCAAGGAGCUAAACGGGAACCACUUGACGUGGACAGAUCGUCUCCAGAGGGCGUCAAAACCGCUUCAACGCAAAGAGCAACAGGGAGCGCAUCUUCAGGCACCUCAAAUAAUGCCUCGCAGGGAAACACCGACUUAAGAAGUGAAAGCAGAAUAUCUACAAAGAGGCAAGAGAAAGUAUCAGAUAUCAUAGAUAAAAAGCCCGAGUCAAAGGUGCCAAACCAGGUGGCUCUGCAAAAACUGCAGGCUGCCGUGAAAACCAUGGAGCAGCUCUAUGUGUUUCAAAAGAAUGAGUGGAAGAGGAAGAACGAGCCUCGGCCGCUGACAGACAGCCACGUGCUUUCACUGAUAGCAAGUGAGGAGCAUCCAGGACACGAAGAGGAGACUGCAUGGACGUCCAGCGCAGACAAGUCUACCAGAAGAAGCUCCCAGUCCAACACAGACAAGCCCCCACCAGGACGAGCAGGUGACAGCCUGCUGAAGCAGGAGGAGAAAGACCCACUCAAACCACACCCCACGUCUGUGGGCUGUGAUGAUAGGCCUAAGUCAGUGCAAGCCCCUAGCAGUGUCAAGGUCUCCAAAACGUCAAAGACACCCCAACCGAACACGGUCACACAAACACCUUUCAGCACCAAAACCUUUGUCCCUAAGUCCCCCAAACUGCCCGCAUCAUUCAGCAUCUGUGAGAGGAGGUCAGCUGGGAACGAAGACGCCGAACUGAAGGAGGCCGACAGAUUUGCACACGAGUUUUCAACUGACAAUGAGAACUACCUCGCUAUUCCAGUCAAGUCUCAGCCUAGCAAAAGCAAACAGCCCCCAUCUGCUGAUAAAGCAUCCAUCUAUACCUUCUCCACCCAGUCACAUCCACCCACACCUCCAGUACACCUGGAACCUGGGCUCAGAGGGCAGGAGGAGCAUAAACACACAGCUAAGUACUCACCAGAGAUCCCCUCAGCUAUCUACCAUUCUUUGCCCCUCGGGAUGCCAGCCAAUCAGCCACAGGUCUACUGCUUCUCUCCAGCAAUCACCCCGGCUCCCACCCUGGACCCGUUCCAGGCCACCCAGAGGAAAAUGCUGCUGGAUCCUAGCACUGGAAACUACUACCUGGUAGACACACCCGUGCAGCCUGCCACCAAGCGUCUCUUUGAUCCAGAAACAGGUCAAUAUGUGGAUGUGCCUAUGCCACAGCCUCCCAUGACACCUGUACCCAUGUCCAUCUCACCUUUAGCUCUCAGUUCUGGCAUUUAUGGCCACACGUACAUGAUCUACCCGGGUCUCAUGCCGACGCCGUCAGUGAUCCCUGCCAGGGCGCUGCUACAGUCACAGAUGUCGGUGCAGGCAGAGGUGGACAGCAGCGAUAAAAGCUCCUCGCAGCAGACUGAGGGCAUGCACGUCGAGAGUCCUUUCUACAUGUCCACCGGAAAGUCUUCCCAGGUAGCCUCAGGUGUUCAACAGCAGGCUGCUGCUAACAGGCCACAGCAGGGUCUUUCUAGCAUCAAGCAGCCAGUCAUCAGCAUCACCUCCCAGCAGGGGCCCCGGAUCAUCGCCCCCCCGUCAUUUGACGGGACGACUAUGAGCUUCAUGGUGGAGCACCAAUGAACGGCAGGUCGUCUGGACAGGAAAUCAGUGAUAUAACAGGAUGCUGGGCGUCGUUUCUAACAGUGAAACAGGAAGAGAUGUGCUGUAACUGUAAAGCCUGCAGCCUCAGGGCUGAGCUGUAAGCUGGACGCUGUGGAAACAAUCACACAGGAGCUGAACGAGCCUGAUGUGUGUGAUGUACGCCGCACUGUGUGAUAACCAAACUGUGAGAGUGUGAAAUAGAUGAAUAGUUACUUUUGUCCAGCUGUUACACUUUCUGUACUUUUUAGAUGUGCGUGACAUGAAGUUAGAAGACAUCAUAUUCAAACUGAGGUUGUUUCUGUUUGCACAUUGGAGUUUGUGCAGUGGGUCUGCUGGACAGUCCGUCUGUUGGAAACAUGUCACAUGACACAGGUUACAGAGCUGGAACGCUUUUCUGAGGUUUUUACUGCUGAAUGUUUUAUUGUGAAGUGUUUGAAAGCGCGAUCCCUGUUUAGUGUUAGUAUCCUGGUACAGGCUUCCAUCAAACACACGUUUCUACCCAAGCUAAUAUGAUAUUUUAUAUUUUUGUACCUGACUCUAAGCUUCACUGCUGCACUGCUAUCAGAAAUCAUUUUCCUCCCAUGCCUUACAAACAGCUCGCCUGCUGAAACUGUAUCUGUGUAUUUGUGAAGGAUAAACCACCUGUGAGUUUAUUCAGGUCUUAAUAGUGAACACUGCUGUUUCUUAAAGCUCCAUGGUCCCAGUAAUACAGUGUUGUUCUCUUCUUCUGGGGGUUUGAUCAUAUUUUGUUCAUGUCAUGUUUCUGAUUGUGCAUGAUUUUUCUUUCUUUCUUUUUUUUAAACUUUUGCAUAAAGUAGGAAAUGUUUUCUAUAAGUGUAGAUGCAUUUUUGCACAGCAGGGCCUCUGAUGCCUCAGAGCAGUGUCUCUGCUGCGCGUACAGGAAGUGUUGAAGGAAGAUGAAGGUGGUGGACAGACGGGAGCGUGGGAAUAAAGAGGACUCGUGGAUGAAAUGAUAAUGAAAUGAUAAACAUGCAGUGUCAAAAACAACCAUGAUGACUUUGAGCUGUUUGCACAGCUACAGUGUCAGGUUCACAUUUACUGUGAAAACUGAAUAAACAGGAAAACUCUGUAAUCACCUGC